AGGCGCGACCCGCGUCUCUGGCGCAGCUGCCUCCUGGAGUCCCUAGUGCGCCAGGAGCCUUGCUCCGUUCUGAUUCGUAUGGGCUCCGCAGAGUUCCGCUUGCGUCAGGGGCCUUCGCCCCUAUAGUGGGGCAGCCAGCAGCGCACGGGCGAGUUCAUCUCCAAGUCUCUCUCUCUCUCUUUUCUUUAAACGGCCCGCACAACUUGGACCGGCCUGCCCCGGGCCUUGGGAGUUUAGGAGACCCCGCCGGACUCACACACUCAUGAGUCCUUGAAAUCUGCGGGUGUUUGCUUCACGGAAGGUCCGGACGAGGGCUCGCUGCACCCUGUCAGUGUCCCGGGAACAUAGUCCCCAGAGAGGAGGAGUGAUCCAACCCUCCUGGCAGCAUUCAGGCUGCUUGGUCUUCAAGAAUUCUCCAGAAUCCUGAGAGCCUGCAGUGGCCAGUGGCUCCAGAAUCCGCAGACGCCUGUCUACAUUGUGUGCUCUCCACUUUGAGAUGAAGGGGAAGGAGGACAGGGAUGUUUUUCUAGGCUAUCUCUCGCAGUCCAGUCCGGAGUACACAAGGGGCAAACAGCAAUUCUUCAAACUCCGACUGCUAUCUGAGCAGGCCUGCAGGUGUUUGUCUUCUUCCUAAACAUCAGGCGUGUCCAGCUAGGGAUCAGCACCCUAAUCCCACGUGGAGAAAGGGUGCCUCAUGUGUGUACAAGGCUGGGAAACAGAACUGCAGGCGCCGUGGGGAUCACCUCCCAGGCCGUGUCUGGCGCGGUAAGCAGCCAGAGCUAAGGACCGGAGACUGGGGAGAAGGUGCUUGUCUGCACUGCGGUUCAGCGGUUCAGCGAGAGGGGGUUGCAGCAGGCGCACCAGGAAGCGGUGGGUGACCUCCAGCCUGCGCCCACCUCCAGCGGCUACGGUCCUGAGUCAGACGGAGCUCCGUGUUUCUCUGGCCGGGGUUUCCAGGAGCCAUCAGCGUCUCCAGCUCCUUGUGCUGCUAGAGAAAUUCCUGCAAAUGCAGAGCUAGGAAGUGGCCGACGCAGCAGCCUCUCAGCAAGUCGGCCGGGAGCUCCGACGUCUAGACGGACAGACUUGAGCAAGUCACUGGUCCCUAAUGAAGACUUUCUCUCCCGGGCUGGGGCUUCCGGCAGCUGUCGCAGAAGGCACUGCCGCCCUCUGUGCGGGCACAAGCUGCGCUUCCCCAGAAUGGUUCAGGUUGAACACACAGUCACCGGGCCGGCUGCUUGUCCCCCAGGUUCCCUUUCUUAGGUCCCCAGGUUCCCUUUCUUAUGGGUCGUUUAACAGUUCCAGAUUCCGGUUCCCUCGCCAGGAGAGAAGAAUCCAGGAGGCUGAAGCCCUUUUCUGCGCAAGCCGACUCUUGAAAAGGGGGCUUCGGUGGGGCUUAGCCCUCCUUACCCAGCUCCACAGGCAAUAACUACCGACUUUCAGCUUCGCAUUCAGACCUUGGGCAUCCACAUCACUCUGACACACUUAACGUUGAUCUCUGUCCAUCUCUCUUCAUCAACUCCAAAUCCUCUCCACCGCGCCACUCUGAGCUCACCUGUUGCACAUACUAGGUCAGAUCCUACACAUUUUAGUUAAAAGCAUGUUAAAUUGACUUUUAGACUCUAACCAAGCCUCUUUACACACCAGCAAGCCCUCCCAUCUCAUGGCUUCCCGGCCCUUUGCUCCACAUGAUGGGGAUUCCAUUUUGUGAAAACCCGCCAGACUGUGGGUUUGGAGACCUAAUGGUGUUCUCAGGACAUUUGCAGAGUAGGCCAGGGCCCCUUUGUUUCUGGAUACCACAAAGAAGAUUCCAGAAUCCCUCUCAAGGUCCGGCCUGGGCAUCUCUCCACAGUGUUUGUCCAGGGAUGGUCACGUGCUGUAGAACCAGGCCAUGGCUUGAAGAUGCUGCACCUUAACCUGGAAAAGUGGGAGGUGGGGAGAAUUUGCAGACAGGGAGAGACAGAAAACGGAUUUCUGGAGAGGGUCUUGGGGUGUGUGCGUGUGCUUGCUCAGGACCCCUUGUUACCAGGUCUCCGCAGAGGUCAUAUGUGGGCUUUACACUCUGGGUAGCCCACCCUUCCUUAGGUCCCUUUGCAGAGUAAUUGAGGCCUUGCUGGGCUCUGGGUUUGUGAUUGGGCAUAAUUACUGGCAGACUGCUGUGGUGGUACAAGCAGGCUUUUGUUGGGGAGGUAAUAGUCUGGAUUUGGGGUCUCUGGGAGUGGAUAAUUGAGGAUCCUGGUGUGCCCUGUCCUGGGUACUUUUUGACUUUGGCAUUUUAUUUGGUGGGGUGGAGGAUCAGUAACACGUCUGAGACAGGAAGUCCCUGUUGUACGGAAGAUGGAAACUCAAGUCUAGAAACACGCAGAGUCUGCGUUAGCCCACAGAGGUACCUGGUGCCGACAGAAUGAGGGUCCUUAUGUUUGGCUCUUGUCUUUUUGCUUUAAGACAGGGUCUCAUUGUGUAGUCCUGGCAGGCCUGGCACUCUCUUUGUUGUCCGGGUUGGUCUUUGACUGAAAUCUGCCUGCCUCUGCCUGUUGAGUGCUGGGACUAAAGGUAUACGCCACCACGCUGGGCAUGCUGGCUCUGGCUGUGCAUAUCAUUGGCAGGCUGGAAGACACCACAGUGGAGCAGAUGACAAGGGCCCCUUUAAUCAUCAGCAAUAUCAGCCUGGGAAGUUAAGGGAUCUUGUCUUGCUUUAGAGUUUUGCAUUUUUUUAAAUCAGUUUUUGAGUAGCAGUAUGUUCACCCACACCAAAAUAAAAUAAGACAGCUUGCAGAACAAAGUCUCUGCCCAUCUCACAGGCAGUCAGAACCUGUGACCGCUUUAUCACGUAUUUUAUGCGUAUACAAGCAUAAACCAUUUUCUCCCACACACUGCCACUUUCUGUACAUGGUAGCAACUAGUGCCCUGAAUUCUUCACCUGAGAAAUCUUUGUGUAUCAUCACAUACACACCCCCCAGCAGGGUCUUUCUCUUAGCCCAGGCUGCCCUGGAACUUGAGAUACUCUUCCUUUAGGCGCUCACUUCUUCAGCUUCAGAUAUGCAUCAUGGCACGUCAUCUUACUGCAUUUUUUUUAAAAAAAUAAAACUAAGUGCCUGAGCUGGUUCAUCUUGCUGUCACCGUGACUGGAUUUAGAAUUACCUAGGAAACACAACUGUCAGCCCCCCCCCCCCCGUGUGUGUGUGUAGUGAAUGCCAAGUGUGUGAGGGUGCCUGAGGACUCCAGAAGAGGGUGUUAGAGGCCCUGGGGCUGGAGUUACAGGCAGUUGUGAACUGCCCAGUGUGGGUGUUGGAACUGAACGAGGGUCCCCUGGAGGAACAACGAAUCAUCAUCUUGGCUGCGGAGCCAUCUCUCCAGCCUCUUCUGUCAGAUAUUUUAUCGUAGCGACAGAAAAUUUAAUUAACUCAGUGGCAUCUAGGCUGUUUCCAAGCCUUUGUUUUCACAAGCAAUACUUUAGUGUACAAUCUGUGUACUUAACUUUGUAGACAUAUCCAUAUAUUUGAAAGCAAAAUUUCUAGCAGAUGGGGUCAAAUGACACAUUUGUAAGUUUGGUUGGUUGUGCAAAACCGUCUUUCUAGGAAGAACCAUAUGGGCUCCCACCAACAGUGAAUCCCUGUUUCUUCAUCACUUCAGUAUACAUUUUAGGGGCCAAAGAGGGGUUCACCAAGUAGCCCAGGCUAACCUCACAAGUGCUGGGAUUGCAGGUGUGGGCUACUACAACCCACUACACCGUUUCUUUUCAAGAUAGAAAACCUUUUUAUUUUUAAUUUAUUUUUAUUUUAUGUGCAUUGGUGUUUUGCCUGCAUGUGUAUCUGUGUGAGGGUGUCAGAUUUUGAAGUUACAGACAGUUGUUAGCUGCUAUGUGUGUG